CAAAAAACAAAUGCAAAAUAUUAAGCCCUAGUCUCUCUUUGUAUACUUCACCAAACUUUGUCACUCUUUUCAUUCCAAAUUCACCCAAUCUCCUUAUCCACUCACAAUAACAUAGCACCUCUCUAGAACCCCUUUUCUUUCUUAUUCUCUGCAAUGGCUUCUGCUAAUGCUAUUUCCACUGCUUCUAUUAUCCCUUCUCCUUCUAAACAGGGGGGUUUGAAGAAUAGGAAGGUCAGCCAAUUGCAGGGACAGAGAUUUGGCAACAAGGGUGCAAAGAACCAAUUUGUAGUCAAGGCCUGUGCUAAAGAAAUUGCCUUUGACCAGAAAUCUAGGAGUGCCCUGCAGGCUGGAAUCGACAAGCUUGCUGAUGCUGUCGGCCUGACUCUUGGUCCAAGGGGAAGGAAUGUAGUGUUGGAUGAAUAUGGCACCCCUAAGGUGGUUAAUGAUGGAGUUACAAUUGCUCGUGCCAUUGAGCUACCUGAUGCUAUGGAGAAUGCUGGGGCUGCCCUUAUCAGGGAGGUUGCAAGCAAAACCAAUGAUUCAGUUGUUGUUCCAUCACCAGCUGA
rnacentral:misc_RNA from 1 species